rnacentral:lncRNA from 10 species
CAAAUGACAAGCUCAACAAGUGAGAAAGCAUCGAAGAUGGAAUUUCUAAACCUAAAUCUGGUCCAACUUCUAAUAAGCACCAGACAUUUGAAAGAAGGACUAUGGCAGGAAGGACCGGCAGUUCAAUCAAAAUCUUUCCACUGAUCCCUGCUGGCUCUGCCUAUUGUAAAUACGAGGGUCUUGAUGAAAGAACCAAGGCAUGAGAUUGGAACCAUGGAGAUGAACAAGGCUGCUUCUGGGAAGCCCAUUUGGAAGAAAAAGAGGGAACUAGAAAGCUGCCAAGUCAAGCUUUUGAAGCGGAGACAAAGUCAAAAGUUUAGACCUCCCUCCCAAUGCUGGGGAUGGGCUGACUGUUUAACCAU